AAUCAACGCUGGCGGCGUGCCUCAGACAUGCAAGUCGAACGCGAAAGCUCCCUUCGGGGAGCAAGUAGAGUGGCGCACGGGUGAGUAACACGUAGGUAAUCUACCUUUGGAUGGGGAAUAACAACCGGAAACGGUUGCUAAUACCGCAUAAUGCAGCGGCACCUAAUGGUGACAGUUGUUAAAGCGGGGGAUCGCAAGACCUCGCGUCUGAAGAGGAGCCUGCGGCAGAUUAGCUAGUUGGUAGGGUAACGGCUUACCAAGGCGAUGAUCUGUAGCCGGCCUGAGAGGGCGGUCGGCCACACUGACACUGACAUACGGGUCAGACUCCUACGGGAGGCAGCAGUCGGGAAUUUUGGGCAAUGGGCGAAAGCCUGACCCAGCAACGCCGCGUGAAGGAUGAAAUCCCUCGGGAUGUAAACUUCGCAAGAGCGGGAAGAAUAAGCCGGUGUCAACACCACCGGCGAUGACGGUACCGUUUGUAAGCUCCGGCUAACUCCGUGCC
rnacentral:rRNA from 1 species